rnacentral:lncRNA from 1 species
AUGGGGAUUUUCCCACCCAAAAAUUGGGAUUUUUCCACUCAAAAAUUGGGAUUUUCCCGCUCAAAAAUUGGGAUUUUUCUACCUAAAAAUCAGGAUUUUCCCACCCAAAAAUUGGGAUUUUUCUACCUAAAAAUCAGGAUUUUCCCGCCCCAAAAUCGGAAUUUUCCCCCCCAAAAUUGGGAAUUUUCCCACCCCAAAAUCGGAAUUUUCCCACCCCAAAAUCAGGACUUUCCCCCCCAAAAAUUGGGAUUUUCCCACCCCAAAAAUCAGGAUUUUCCUGCUCAAAAAUCGGGAUUUUUUCACCCCAAAAUCGGGAUUUUCCCCCCAAAAAAAUCAGGAUUUUCCCGCCCAAAAAUCGGGAUUUUCCCGCCCAAAAAUCGGGAAUUUUCCCACCUAAAAAUCGGGAUUUUCCCCCCAAAAAAAUCAGGAUUUUCCUGCUCAAAAAUCAAGAUUUUCCCACCCCAAAAUCGGGAUUUUCCCACCCCAAAAUCGGGAUUUUCCCACCCCAAAAUCGGGAUUUUCCCCUCCAAAAUCGGGAUUUUCCCCUCAAAAAAAUGUGAUUUUCCCACCUAAAAAUCGGAAUUUUCCCACCCCAAAAUCGGGAUUUUCCCACCCAAAAAUCAGAAUUUUCCCACCCAAAAUUGGGAAUUUUCCCCCCAAAAAUUGGGAAUUUUCCCACCCAAAAUCGGGAUUUUCUCACCCAAAAUUGGGAAUUUUCCCGCCUAAAAAUCGGAAUUUUCCCACCCCAAAAUCGGGAUUUUCCCACCCCAAAAUCAGGAUUUUCCUGCUCAAAAAUUGGAAUUUUCCCACCCCAAAAUUGGGA